GACGAACGCUGGCGGCGUGCUUAACACAUGCAAGUCGGACGCUGAAGCUCAGCUUUUGUUGGGUGGAUGAGUGGCGAACGGGUGAGUAACACGUGAGUAACCUGCCUCCUUCUUUGGGAUAACGCCCGGAAACGGGUGCUAAUACUGGAUAUUCACUGGUCUUCGCAUGGGGGUUGGUGGAAAGGGUUUUUCUGGUGGGGGAUGGGCUUGCGGCCUAUCAGCUUGUUGGUGGGGUGAUGGCCUACCAAGGCUUUGACGGGUAGCCGGCCUGAGAGGGUGACCGGUCACAUUGGGACUGAGAUACGGCCCAGACUCCUACGGGAGGCAGCAGUGGGGAAUAUUGCACAAUGGGCGCAAGCCUGAUGCAGCGACGCCGCGUGAGGGAUGGAGGCCUUCGGGUUGUGAACCUCUUUCGCUCAUGGUCAAGCCGCAACAAUGGUUGUGGUGAGGGUAGUGGGUAAAGAAGCGCCGGCUAACUACGUG
rnacentral:rRNA from 1 species